AGGAUAAACGCUGGCGGCGUGCCUAACACAUGCAAGUCGAACGUCCUACGCAAGUAGGGAGUGGCGGACGGGUGAGUAACACGUGGGCAAUCUACCUUUCGGUGAGGAAUACCGGCGAGAAAUCGCCGACAAUACCGCAUACGCUUCGCAAGAAGCAAAGUCGCAAGACGCCGGAGGAGGAGCCUGCGCCCGAUUAGCUGGUUGGUGGAGUAAUGGUCUACCAAGGCGACGAUCGGUAGCUGGUCUGAGAGGAUGAUCAGCCACACUGGGAUUGAGAACGGCCCAGACUCCUACGGGGGGCAGCAGUGAGGAAUUUUCGCAAUGGGGGAAACCCUGAACGAGCAACGCCGCGUGGAGGAUGAAAUAUCUUGGUAUGUAAACUCCUUUCGAUGGGGAAGAUUAUGACGGUACCCAUAGAAGAAGCCCCGGCUAACUUCGUGCCAGCAGCCGC
rnacentral:rRNA from 1 species